rnacentral:misc_RNA from 1 species
AUAAAAUUUAAUCAAAAUUUAUCUUUUUAAUAUUUAUUUUGAUAGCCAUCAAAGUAAAAUUAAUUUUCAAACAAGGAUCUAACCAUCUUUUUUACUAUUUAUUGUUUUAAAAAAAUAACUUUUUUACUAUAAACCAAACAAGAAUUAAUGCAACAAAUCCUACAAAAAGAUAGACACCGAUUUUCAAAAUGAGAUUAUAAAAAGAUAUUUUAUUUUCA